AGGUGCUGCAUGGUUGUCGUCAGCUCGUGCCGUGAGGUGUCGGCUUAAGUGCCAUAACGAGCGCAACCCUUAUCGAUAGUUACCAUCAGGUCAUGCUGAGGACUCUGGAGAGACUGCCGUCGUAAGAUGUGAGGAAGGUGGGGAUGACGUCAAAUCAGCACGGCCCUUACGUCCGGGGCUACACACGUGUUACAAUGGGGGGUACAGAAGGCAGCUACCUGGUGACAGGAUGCCAAUCCCAAAAACCUCUCUCAGUUCGGAUCGAAGUCUGCAACCCGACUUCGUGAAGCUGGAUUCGCUAGUAAUCGCGCAUCAGCCAUGGCGCGGUGAAUACGUUCCCGGGCCUUGUACACACCGCCCGUCAAGCCAUGGAAGCCGGGUACCUGAAGUACGUAACCGCAAGGAGCGUCCUAGGGUAAAACUGGUAAUUGGGGCUAAGUCGUAACAAGGUAGCCGUACCGGAAGGUGCGGCUGGAACACC
rnacentral:rRNA from 1 species